GAUGAACGCUAGCGAUAGGCUUAACACAUGCAAGUCGAGGGGCAGCGAGGGUAGCAAUACCUGUCGGCGACCGGCGCACGGGUGAGUAACGCGUAUGUAACCUGCCCGCAACAGGGGGAUAACCCGGCGAAAGUCGGACUAAUACCGCAUAAAACAGGGGUCCCGCAUGGGAAUAUUUGUUAAAGAUUUAUCGGUUGCGGAUGGGCAUGCGUACCAUUAGGUAGUUGGUGAGGUAACGGCUCACCAAGCCUUCGAUGGUUAGGGGUUCUGAGAGGAAGGUCCCCCCCACUGGUACUGAGACACGGACCAGACUCCUACGGGAGGCAGCAGUGAGGAAUAUUGGUCAAUGGGCGGGAGCCUGAACCAGCCAAGUCGCGUGAAGGAUGACUGCCCUAUGGGUUGUAAACUUCUUUUACAAGGGAAUAAAAUGAGAUACGUGUAUUUUAUUGCAUGUACCUUGGGAAUAAGCAUCGGCUAACUCCGU
rnacentral:rRNA from 1 species